rnacentral:rRNA from 1 species
ACGACGCUGGCGGCGUGCCUAACACAUGCAAGUCGAGCGGGGUUGAGGCGAGAGGUAACUCGAGCUUCUACCUAGCGGCGGACGGGUGAGUAACGCGUGGGCAACCUGCCUCAAGGUUUGGGAUAACAGCCCGAAAGGGCUGCUAAUACCGGAUAUGCCUAUGGCCUCGCAUGGGGCUAUGAGCAAAGGGGAAACCCGCCUUGAGAUGGGCCCGCGUCCCAUCAGCUAGUUGGUGAGGUAACAGCUCACCAAGGCGACGACGGGUAGCCGGCCUGAGAGGGUGACCGGCCACACUGGGACUGAGACACGGCCCAGACUCCUACGGGGGGCAGCAGUGGGGGAUCUUGCACAAUGGGCGAAAGCCUGAUGCAGCGACGCCGCGUGAGCGAAGAAGGCCUUCGGGUUGUAAAGCUCUGUCUGGAGGGACGAACAAAAUGACGGUACCUCCGGAGGAAGCCACGGCUAACUACGUG